UGCCCAAUUAACAACUCAUACAGAAACCAUGAAAGGCGUUGGUUGCUUAAAACAGCAGGACGGUGAUCAUGGAAGUCGAAAUCCGCUAAGGAGUGUGUAACAACUCACCUGCCGAAGCAAUUAGCCCUUAAAAUGGAUGGCGCUUAAGUUGUAUACCUAUACAUUACCGCUAAAGUAGAUGAUUUAUAUUAUUUAUAAUAUAAAUUUUAAAACUUUAGUGAGUAGGAAGGUACAAUGGUGUGCUUAGAAGUGUUUGGCGUAAGCCUGCAUGGAGCCGCUAUUGCUACAGAUCUUGGUGGUAGUAGCAAAUAAUCGAAUGAGACCUUGGAGGACUGAAGUGGAGAAGGGUUUCGUGUGAACAGUGGUUGAUCACGAGUUAGUCGGUCCUAAGUUCAAGGCGAAAGCCGAAAAUUUUUAAGUUUUAAAAAUGUCAAAGGAAAUAAUAAAUAAUAAAACACUUGAAUAAUUUUGAACGAAAGGGAAUACGGUUCCAAUUCCGAAACCUGUUGAGUAUCCGUUUGUUAUUAAAUAUGGGCCUCGUGCUCAUCCUGGCAACAGGAACGACCAUAAAGAGUUUUCUUUUCUGUUUUAUAGCCGUACUACCAUGGAAGCCUUUCGCAGAGAGAUAUGGUAGAUGGGCUAGAAGUCUGAAGUCGGCAAAUUAGAUCCGUAACUUCGGACAGCCAAUUGUGGAACUUUCUUGCUAAAAUUUUUAAGAAUACUUAUUUUUAAUUAGUUCUUUUAAAUUAUAACGAUUAUCAAUUAACAAUCAAUUCAGAUUAAAACAAUCUGAACUAAAACAAAGCAUUGUGAUGGCCCUAGCGGGUGUUGACACAAUGUGAAUUCUGCCCAGUGCUCUGAAUGUCAAAGUGAAGAAAUUCAAGUAAGCGCGGGUCAACGGCGGGAGUAACUAUGACUCUCUUUCACAUCAUGCAAAAAUGCUAUCAUACGCACGGGAGGCGGGUAGCUAGACACAACAGCGUAGUAAAUGCCGUCAAGCGGGGACUUGAACGGAAAGGCUCCGUUGUCCAUGUCGAACCAAGUCUGAAAUGCGACUCGGGCUUAAAUAAACCGGACCUGGUGGGAAUCCGACAGAAACACAUUUAUGUGAUAGACGUUCAGAUUGUGACAGACAGACAUUCCUUAGACUAAACGCACCAGCGCAAGGUCGAAAGGUACGACAGAGCUGACAUAAGAUCACAAAUGCGGCGAUUUUUCGGAGUGACAGGUGAAAUCGAGUUUCAUUCCUUUACACUCAACUGGAGAGGAAUCUGGAGCGGUCAGUCGGUAAAACGAUUGAUUGCAAAAGAUCUCCUCAUCGCUGAAGAUACCAAACUAAUCAGCGUCAGAGCAGUAAAUGGCGGAGUGACGUCUUUCAAAUAUUUCAUGUAUUGUGCUGGGUAUACUCGAAGCUAGAUGUGCUAACCUCUAGUUUAUCUUAUACUUUUGCCUUCUACCUUGGCAUUCCAUCUAAAAAGGUACAAACAUCACAUUGUCAAAAAGAGGUUGUUUUAGUACGUAGGCGCUGUGGGACUUCAUUGUCCCGAUGAUGCAGCGAAUCAUGCAUACGAGAUUGUCCAGUAGUUGGUUGCUCGUAUCUUUAGAAGAUAGCCAAAUGCCUCAUCUAAUUAGUGACGCGCAUGAAUGGAUUAACGAGAUUCCUACUGUCCCUAUCUACUGUCUAGCGAAACCACAACCAAGGGAACGGGCUUGGAAUAAUUAGCGGGGAAAGAAGACCCUUUUGAGCUUGACUCUAAUCUGGCAGUGUAAGGAGUCGUAAGAGGUGUAGAAUAAGUGGGAGAUAUUAUUCCUUGUGUUUGAUAUCGCCAAUGAAAUACCACUACUCUUAUUGUUUCCUUACUUAAAGAGUUUUUAACAAGAGGUGUCAGAAAAUUUACCAUAGGGAUAACUGGCUUUUUGAUCCUUCGAUGUCGGCUGUUCCUAUCAUUGUGAAGCAAAAUUCAGCGUUGGAUUGUUCACCCAUGCAAGGGAACGUGAGCUGGGCUUAGACCGUCGUGAGACAGGUUAGUUUUACCCUACUAAUGACAAAACGUUGUUGGCGACAGCAUUCCUGCGUAGUACGAGAGGAACCGCAGGUACGGACAAAUGGCACAAUACUUGUUCGAACGAACAGUGGUAUGACGCUACGUCCGUUGGAUUAUGCCUGAACGCCUCUAAGGUCGUAUCCGUGCUGGACUGCAAUGAUAAAUAAGGGGCAAUUUGCAUUGUAUGGCUUCUAAACCAUUAAAAGUUUAUUUUAUAAACGACAAUGGAUGUGAUGCCAAUGUUAUUUGUAACAUAGUAAAUUGGGAGGAUCUUCGAUCACCUGAUGCCGCGCUAGUUACUUAUUAAGACAUUAUUUAAUACAAUGACAAAGCCUAGAAUCAAUUGUAAACGACUUUUGUAACAGGCAAGGUGUUGUAAGUGGUUGAGCAGCUGCCAUACUGCGAUCCACUGAAGCUUAUCCUUUGCUUAAUAAUUCGAUUUUUUUAAAU
rnacentral:rRNA from 1 species